rnacentral:rRNA from 1 species
UGAGGGAAAGUUGCAAAGAACUUUGAAGAGAGAGUUCAAGAGAACGUGAAAUCGUUAAAGUGGAACCGGAGAGAGUUGACGAAGCGUUUGUGGUAAAGACUUUCGUGAUUGCUUCAGUGAACGCGAUUGUUGGAUCUGCAUUUGGCUGCGUUGGUAGGGUUAUUGGUGUUAGUCGAAACGUGUUGUGCUGCCCACUUUUGUGGUGACUAGCUUACGUGGAGGCUGAUUGCUGGUACCCUUUAGCUUUGCUUGCAAGGUACCAAUGUUCAAGUUGACCACCUUUCCGACCCGUCUUGAAACACGGACCGAGGAGUGUAGCUAGUGCGCGAGUCAAAGGGUGUCAAACCCCGCGGCGCAWUGAAAGUAAAGGCCAGUUUACUGGUUUUACAUAGGAGUUGUUCUUUGAGCAAUGCACUAUGGCCCUGUUUUGAAAGCUUGCUUUUGGGCAGAGGAAGAGCGUACUGGUUGCGACCCGAAAGAUGGUGAACUAUACUUGAGCAGGACGAAGUCAGAGGAAACUCUGAUGGAAGUCCGUAUCGGUUCUGACGUGCAAAUCGAUCGAUAGACUUGUGUAUAGGGGCGAAAGACUAAUCGAACCAUCUAGUA